AUAAUCCAUGGAAACGUGGACUAAUACCGCAUAUUGUAGUUAAGUUGCAUGACUUGAUUAUGAAAGAUUUAUCGCUUAUGGAUGGACUCGCGUCAGAUUAGAUAGUUGGUGAGGUAACGGCUCACCAAGUCAACGAUCUGUAGCCGAACUGAGAGGUUGAUCGGCCGCAUUGGGACUGAGACACGGCCCAGACUCCUACGGGAGGCAGCAGUGGGGAAUAUUGCGCAAUGGGGGCAACCCUGACGCAGCAACGCCGCGUGCAGGAAGAAGGUCUUCGGAUUGUAAACUGUUGUCGCAAGGGAAGAAGACAGUGACGGUACCUUGUGAGAAAGUCACGGCUAACUACGUGCCAGCAGCCGCGGUAAUACGUAGGUGACAAGCGUUGUCCGGAUUUACUGGGUGUAAAGGGCGCGUAGGCGGACUGUCAAGUCAGUCGUGAAAUACCGGGGCUUAACCCCGGGGCUGCGAUUGAAACUGACAGCCUUGAGUAUCGGAGAGGAAAGCGGAAUUCCUAGUGUAGCGGUGAAAUGCGUAGAUAUUAGGAGGAACACCAGUGGCGAAGGCGGCUUUCUGGACGACAACUGACGCUGAGGCGCGAAAGUGUGGGGAGCAAACAGGAUUAGAUACCCUGGUAGUCCACACCGUAAAC
rnacentral:rRNA from 1 species